UGGUUUAAUUCGAUGCAACGCGAAGAACCUUACCUGGUCUUGACAUCCACGGAAGUUUUCAGAGAUGAGAAUGUGCCUUCGGGAACCGUGAGACAGGUGCUGCAUGGCUGUCGUCAGCUCGUGUUGUGAAAUGUUGGGUUAAGUCCCGCAACGAGCGCAACCCUUAUCCUUUGUUGCCAGCGGUCCGGCCGGGAACUCAAAGGAGACUGCCAGUGAUAAACUGGAGGAAGGUGGGGAUGACGUCAAGUCAUCAUGGCCCUUACGACCAGGGCUACACACGUGCUACAAUGGCGCAUACAAAGAGAAGCGACCUCGCGAGAGCAAGCGGACCUCAUAAAGUGCGUCGUAGUCCGGAUUGGAGUCUGCAACUCGACUCCAUGAAGUCGGAAUCGCUAGUAAUCGUGGAUCAGAAUGCCACGGUGAAUACGUUCCCGGGCCUUGUACACACCGCCCGUCACACCAUGGGAGUGGGUUGCAAAAGAAGUAGGUAGCUUAACCUUCGGGAGGGCGCUUACCACUUUGUGAUUCAUGACUGGGGUGAAGUCGUAACAAGGUAACCGUAGGGGAACCUGCGGUUGGA
rnacentral:rRNA from 2 species